UUUGCCAAUCUUAUGUCAAAUCAGUCGGUAGAGCAUGAGACUCUGGAUCUCAGGGUCAUAGGUUUGAGCCCCACGUUGCGCAAAA